UACGUAGGGUGCAAGCGUUAAUCGGAAUUACUGGGCGUAAAGCGUGCGCAGGCGGUUUUGUAAGUUUGUCGUGAAAGCCCCGGGCUCAACCUGGGAAUUGCGAUGAAGACUGCAAGGCUUGAAUCUGGCAGAGGGGGGUAGAAUUCCACGUGUAGCAGUGAAAUGCGUAGAGAUGUGGAGGAACACCGAUGGCGAAGGCAGCCCCCUGGGGCAAGAUUGACGCUCAUGCACGAAAGCGUGGGGAGCAAACAGG
rnacentral:rRNA from 1 species